UGAGGAAUAUUGGGUCAAUGGUCGCGAGACUGAACCAGCCAAGUAGCGUGCAGGAUGACGGCCCUCUGGGUUGUAAACUGCUUUUAGUUGGGAAUAAAAAGGCGGUACGUGUACCGCGUAUUGUAUGUACCAUCAGAAAAAGGACCGGCUAAUUCCGUGCCAGCAGCCGCGGUAAUACGGAAGGUCCGGGCGUUAUCCGGAUUUAUUGGGUUUAAAGGGAGCGUAGGCCGGAGAUUAAGCGUGUUGUGAAAUGCCGCGGCUCAACCGUGGCACUGCAGCGCGAACUGGUUUUCUUGAGUGCGCGCGACGCAGGCGGAAUUCGUGGUGUAGCGGUGAAAUGCUUAGAUAUCACGAGGAACCCCGAUUGCG
rnacentral:rRNA from 1 species